UGGGGAAUAUUGCGCAAUGGGGGAAACCCUGACGCAGCAACGCCGCGUGAUUGAAGAAGGCCUUCGGGUUGUAAAGAUCUUUAAUUCGGGACGAAUUUUGACGGUACCGAAAGAAUAAGCUCCGGCUAACUACGUGCCAGCAGCCGCGGUAAUACGUAGGGAGCAAGCGUUAUCCGGAUUUACUGGGUGUAAAGGGCGCGCAGGCGGGCCGGCAAGUUGGAAGUGAAAUCCGGGGGCUUAACCCCCGAACUGCUUUCAAAACUGCUGGUCUUGAGUGAUGGAGAGGCAGGCGGAAUUCCGUGUGUAGCGGUGAAAUGCGUAGAUAUACGGAGGAACACCAGUGGCGAAGGCGGCCUGCUGGACAUUAACUGACGCUGAGGCGCGAAAGCGUGGGGAGCAAACA
rnacentral:rRNA from 1 species